AAACCUUGCUAAUAGUCUUAACCAAUAUAUCAAACACAUGGUGUGCACAUGAAAAUUCUUCUUCCAUGUGAACAGCCUGCUGAAGUUAAUUUAAGUCCCAAUUCAUGUAUUCUUAAGGAAUAUCCCGAACCUAAAACUCCUGCACGAAAAAUGGUUUUUACCUUGUAAGAAAUUAUAUCUAUGUCUAAGGGAAUUGAAACUUAAAAUCUCAAUAGGUUUUAUGAAGGUGUUCAAAUCAAAUAAAUCCAAUUACAGCGUCUUCCAAACGCUAAAAGAAAAACACAUUAAUCAAUUACAUCGGCGUAAACUCUUCAGAUCAUUUAAAAUAUUAUCAC
rnacentral:lncRNA from 1 species